rnacentral:tmRNA from 1 species
GGGGGUGACCUGGUUUCGACGGGGUCAUGCAGCUCGUUUGUGCAAGCCGUGGUGCCAUCAGGCCACGUUAAACAGGUGGCAUUUGUUAAUCGGCAACGAUUACGCUCUCGCUGCUUAGUCUAAACCACUAAGUAACGUCGGUUCUCCUUCCGGGGUCCAUAACAGAGGGAAGAACCGUUAUUACAGUGGACUAGGUUUCCGUUGCUGGCAUGCCGGCGGGAUCCGAAAACUUAGUAGGCUUCGCCCGCGUGUAGUUUGUGCGUAGACGCCGCGUGGGUAAGAAAAAAUACGUACUAAGCUUGUAGGUCGACGACGUGAAUUGAUUUCGGACGCGGGUUCGAUUCCCGCCACCUCCACCA